rnacentral:rRNA from 1 species
AGUGAACGCUGGCGGUAGGCCUAACACAUGCAAGUCGAACGGCAGCACAGUAAGAGCUUGCUCUUACGGGUGGCGAGUGGCGGACGGGUGAGGAAUACAUCGGAAUCUACUUUUUCGUGGGGGAUAACGUAGGGAAACUUACGCUAAUACCGCAUACGACCUACGGGUGAAAGCAGGGGAUCUUCGGACCUUGCGCGAUUGAAUGAGCCGAUGUCGGAUUAGCUAGUUGGCGGGGUAAAGGCCCACCAAGGCGACGAUCCGUAGCUGGUCUGAGAGGAUGAUCAGCCACACUGGAACUGAGAAACGGUCCAGACUCCUACGGGAGGCAGCAGUGGGGAAUAUUGGACAAUGGGCGCAAGCCUGAACCAGCCAUACCGCGUGGGUGAAGAAGGCCUUCGGGUUGUAAAGCCCUUUUGUUGGGAAAGAAAAGCAGCAGGUUAAUACCCCGCUGUUCUGACGGUACCCAAAGAAUAAGCACCGGCUAACUUCGU